rnacentral:rRNA from 1 species
UACGGGAGGAGCAGUGGGGAAUAUUGCACAAUGGGCGCAAGCCUGAUGCAGCCAUGCCGCGUGUAUGAAAAAGGCCUUCGGGUUGUAAAGUACUUUCAGUCGUGAGGAAGGUGUUAAGGUUAAUAACCUUAGCAAUUGACGUUAGCGACAGAAGAAGCACCGGCUAACUCCGUGCCAGCAGCCGCGGUAAUACGGAGGGUGCGAGCGUUAAUCGGAAUUACUGGGCGUAAAGGGCACGCAGGCGGUUAAUUAAGUUGGAUGUGAAAUCCCCGGGCUUAACCUGGGAAUGGCAUUCAAGACUGGUUAGCUAGAGUCUUGUAGAGGGGGUAGAAUUCCAUGUGUAGCGGUGAAAUGCGUAGAGAUGUGGAGGAAUACCGGUGGCGAAGGCGGCCCCUGGACAAAGACUGACGCUCAUGUGCGAAAGCGUGGGGAGCAAAACAGGGAUUAGAUACC